AGUGAACGCUGGCGGUAGGCCUAACACAUGCAAGUCGAACGGCAGCACAGUAAGAGCUUGCUCUUACGGGUGGCGAGUGGCGGACGGGUGAGGAAUACAUCGGAAUCUACUUUUUCGUGGGGGAUAACGUAGGGAAACUUACGCUAAUACCGCAUACGACCUACGGGUGAAAGCAGGGGAUCUUCGGACCUUGCGCGAAUGAAUGAGCCGAUGUCGGAUUAGCUAGUUGGCGGGGUAAAGGCCCACCAAGGCGACGAUCCGUAGCUGGUCUGAGAGGAUGAUCAGCCACACUGGAACUGAGACACGGUCCAGACCCCUACGGGAGGCAGCAGUGGGGAAUAUUGGACAAUGGGCGCAAGCCUGAUCCAGCCAUACCGGGUGGGUGAAGAAGGCCUUCGGGUUGUAAAGCCCUUUUGUUGGGAAAGAAAAGCAGCAGGUUAAUACCCCGCUGUUCUGACGGUACCCAAAGAAUAAGCACCGGCUAACUUCGU
rnacentral:rRNA from 1 species